GUCUCUCUGUAGAUCAGUGGUAGAGCAUCUGACCAGUGUACAGAAGGUCAUUUGUUUGAUUCUGAUUCCUAUUGGGGACU